rnacentral:rRNA from 1 species
GCCCAGACUCCUACGGGAGGCAGCAGUGGGAAUAUUGGACAAUGGGCGAAAGCCUGAUCCAGCCAUGCCGCGUGUGUGAAGAAGGCCUUUUGGUUGUAAAGCACUUUAAGCGAGGAGGAGGCUACUGAGAUUAAUACUCUUGGAUAGUGGACGUUACUCGCAGAAUAAGCACCGGCUAACUCUGUGCCAGCAGCCGCGGUAAUACAGAGGGUGCGAGCGUUAAUCGGAUUUACUGGGCGUAAAGCGUGCGUAGGCGGCUUCUUAAGUCGGAUGUGAAAUCCCUGAGCUUAACUUAGGAAUUGCAUUCGAUACUGGGAAGCUAGAGUAUGGGAGAGGAUGGUAGAAUUCCAGGUGUAGCGGUGAAAUGCGUAGAGAUCUGGAGGAAUACCGAUGGCGAAGGCAGCCAUCUGGCCUAAUACUGACGCUGAGGUACGAAAGCAUGGGGAGCAAACAGGAUUAGAUACCCUGGUAGUCCAUGCCGUAAACGAUGUCUACUAGCCGUUGGGGCCUUUGAGGCUUUAGUGGCGCAGCUAACGCGAUAAGUAGACCGCCUGGGGAGUACGGUCGCAAGACUAAAACUCAAAUGAAUUGACGGGGGCCCGCACAAGCGGUGGAGCAUGUGGUUUAAUUCGAUGCAACGCGAAGAACCUUACCUGGUCUUGACAUAGUAAGAACUUUCCAGAGAUGGAUUGGUGCCUUCGGGAACUUACAUACAGGUGCUGCAUGGCUGUCGUCAGCUCGUGUCGUGAGAUGUUGGGUUAAGUCCCGCAACGAGCGCAACCCUUUUCCUUAUUUGCCAGCGGGUUAAGCCGGGAACUUUAAGGAUACUGCCAGUGACAAACUGGAGGAAGGCGGGGACGACGUCAAGUCAUCAUGGCCCUUACGACCAGGGCUACACACGUGCUACAAUGGUCGGUACAAAGGGUUGCUACCUAGCGAUAGGAUGCUAAUCUCAAAAAGCCGAUCGUAGUCCGGAUUGGAGUCUGCAACUCGACUCCAUGAAGUCGGAAUCGCUAGUAAUCGCGGAUCAGAAUGCCGCGGUGAAUACGUUCCCGGGCCUUGUACACACCGCCCGUCACACCAUGGGAAUUUGUUGCACCAGAAGUAGGUAGUCUAACCGCAAGGAGGACGCUUACCACG